rnacentral:rRNA from 1 species
UGGGGAAUAUUGGACAGUGGGCGAAAGCCUGAUCCAGCAAUGCCGCGUGAGUGAUGAAGGCCUUAGGGUUGUAAAGCUCUUUUACCCGGGAUGAUAAUGACAGUACCGGGAGAAUAAGCUCCGGCUAACUCCGUGCCAGCAGCCGCGGUAAUACGGAGGGAGCUAGCGUUAUUCGGAAUUACUGGGCGUAAAGCGCACGUAGGCGGCUUUGUAAGUUAGAGGUGAAAGCCUGGAGCUCAACUCCAGAAUUACCUUUAAGACUGCAUCGCUUGAAUCCAGGAGAGGUGAGUGGAAUUCCGAGUGUAGAGGUGAAAUUCGUAGAUAUUCGGAAGAACACCAGUGGCGAAGGCGGCUCACUGGACUGGUAUUGACGCUGAGGUGCGAAAGCGUGGGGAGCAAGCAGGAUUAGAUACCCUGGUAGUCCACGCCGUAAACGAUGAUAACUAGCUGUCGGGGCUCUUAGAGCUUCGGUGGCGCAGCUAACGCAUUAAG